rnacentral:rRNA from 1 species
AACUUUCAACAACGGAUCUCUUGGUUCCGGCAUCGAUGAAGAACGCAGCGAAAUGCGAUAACUAAUGUGAAUUGCAGAAUUCAGUGAAUCAUCGAGUCUUUGAACGCACAUUGCGCCCCCUGGUAUUCCGGGGGCAUGCCUGUCCGAGCGUCAUU